GAUUUGUUUUGCACACUUUUUUUUUUUUUAGCAAAACAUUUUGACUGAUUGGGAAAGACCUAAACUGAAAAUUCUCUCUAAAACAGGGUCAGCAGCCACAUAAAUGAAAUCAGAGGUUUUAAAGGAAGAAAAUUAUUGUUAAAAGGAGGAAAGCAAAUGUGUUUCCCCACCUGUUCUGCUUUUGUAUCAGAAGGGAUGUCUGGUGUGGAAUGAAACCAUCCUGAUUAACCUUGUAAAAUGGGAAAAUUUUCCUGGAUAUUCCCUAUAAAAAAAAUUGUGGAGGGGAAUCUUAAGAGUUAAACAUCACUACAGAGGAAAUAUCUCUUUCUUAGGGGAAGAGGUGUGCCUAGCAGAAUGAAUGCCCUUCAGAUAAACACCUUGGGAUGAUCAGCGUGCCCGUUCCUUCCUGCCAUGCCCCACCUCGCCAGAGUUACAUUUUCUGCCCGCUCAACAAGUGAGAGCUUGUGGCACCCUCUUCCUCCUUCAAACGAGACACUCUCCAAACAACCUGAGCGGGCAAACAAACCCCUGGUGCUGUGAUAUCAAAGGAGAAAGAUCCGCACGCACACCAGCAAAGAACCGCGUUGUGAAAUACCCGAUGUUGACACACACCAGCUGAAGAAACACACGUCCACCAAAUGGAAGGAAAUCAAAAUGGAAUUACCCAACGUUGUUAUCUCCCUGUUCAUUCAGCCGUGUUCCUACCCAGUUUUCUCCCAAUUCAUUUGCAGUGAGGCUCAAUGCAGAUAUGUACUCUAUUUAUAGCUCCUCUCUGGAUUUUAGAGCACAGUCAUAAAUAAUAGUCUGGUUUGAGCGCAGCUUUCAUACCUUUACUGCACACUCACAUUGAAAUAAUGUCUGGGGAUACAACAUCAUCUCAUUACAUCUUUUAUUAUCUCUUAUUACGGCAAAUACAACACACACAGAUAUAUAACAGACCUAAUAAUAGAAAUCAGGAACUUGAGACAGCAGUGCAAAUCCCCGAGCUCAGUAACGAGAAAUGCGCUUGGAAGAUGCAAAUUUGCUUAUUUGUUGGGGCAGGCAGUCUGCCCAUGAGCAGGGAGGCAGGCCAGGGCUGCCAGACCCACACCGAAAUUCCCAGUCCAGCCACAGCUUCCUGCAUGACCCUGUUCCAGUCACUUAAUCCCGUGGAUCUGUUUGCAGUGGGUGAAAGGAGAAUGCUUGCUUUCCCUAUGGCAGGGGUUAGGAGGAUCACACAGAUGAAGGAAGACCUACUCUACUCCAGAGCUCAGCACUUUAUGUGCAACAAAAUCCAGAGGAACCAUUUGGAUCAGCUCAGAGAUGCCUAGGCCAGCAGCAGCAGUGGUUCCUGAUCCAUGAUCCAUGAUCCUGAUCCAUGAUCCAUGUGAGUGGAGCACACCAGGCUGAGGCAGAGGCUGAACAGACAUUUCCAAGGCCUUCAAACCGAGCCCUUGGAUGGAUCCUGUGUUUGUCUCUAAGUUUUAACGCUCCUGCAGAAGCAGGGCCCCUGCAGCUGAGCUGGAGUUGUAAACAAGGCAGAUUUUCCAUGGGAAUUCCCCCAGGUCCAAAAGUGAGGUACCCAACCCAGCUCUGCCCAUUACUCAACAUGAUGCAUUCCAAGUCGUAUUUCAAAGGAGGGGAUUGUCCUGGAAAGGCACUGAGUUGUUAAUUACUUGACAGUGGUUGCAGUGGGCAGGGAGGGUUUGCAAUCCAUUAAUGACUGCAGAAUCACUCAGCAGCAGCACAUCCAAAGCAGCCUGGGAGAUAUAUGAGGUGUUCAGGAAAAGUGUUUUAUUGUGAAAAGUGUCAAAGGCAUCCUUUAAACUACUCCUCCUUGGAAGGUUUUAUUAGCAGUUCAUUUCUAUCACACCUCAGGUGAAGCUACUGCAGAUCUUGAAGCAAAUUUUUUUGUGUUUUAAGAUGUUUUUAUUUAAUUGAUGUCUUGGAGAUUAUUUUGAAUCCUGAGUGUGCCCUGUGAGGUUCUGUCUGGGUCCUCUUCCAAGCUGACCUCCACAGCGAAGCCUGAAAUUUAACUGUGUUUCCCUUUGCUAAAGGACCACUGCCACACUCUGGCAAACUUCGAAAUAUAUAUUUUCCCAAAAUUCUGCUGAUGGUUUGAGGCUUUUUUUUUUUCUUCCAUCCAUCGUUUGUUCUUUCCAAAGGAUUAGUUUGGAAACAAAAUUUCUUUAUUUUCUGAACCAGAUUUAUCCCUCUGCUGGAUUCUACCAGGGGUGCUGCACAAUUUGCUCUGCAGGUGACACCACCACGAAAGAUUCUGGCAGGGGGACAGGUCUGUCAUGACAAACUGUGAGUUUACACACAGAUCCUCCUGCAAAAAAUCAGCAAUGACAGCCACAAAGGGAACUCUGUGACUGCUCUGUCUUUAUGACAAUCUCUGUGUGAGCAGUUGAGUGUUCUCCAUGUCCUGUCAGCUUCUGAGAAAACCCUGGUGCCUUUCCACAAAGCAGUUCCAGCUCCAGGGUAAGGCUGGUACAGAAACCUCCUGCAGGCUUGCAGCGCUGUCCCAGCUCCUGGGAACACGACUAAAUCUGUCUGAAAGGAGGAGAUGUUAACACAGCUCGUCGAGAAAAACAUCACUCAGGCUUCAGGUUCAGCUUGUGCUGACACCUCUCAGGCAGAGGAGGAGGCCAAUCCUGCGCUGAUCACAGGAGGAGCUGGAUGAGGCUGGAUUUUUCUUCUGCAUCUCAGCUCCAUCACUUUUUUUCCUUCCUCCAGUUGGACACUCAGUGGCUCUGUGGUCUAAACCACAGACCUGAAGGCAUAAUUCUGUUCCCUCUUUUACUACCUAGAGCAAAUGUUAUGAUCACAGAAAUUUGGGUUAAAUUGUUUUUGAUACCCUGGGGUGUGCUGUUUACAAAUGACUGUUCUGCUUUGUCUGUUUUCUAGCUGGGCUUUUUUUCUUCUGUGAAACUGAAGUUCACCACUUUCUGUGUGUUUUGUAAGAAUUCCUUGUAGCUGUGAUCUGGCUGUUGUGGUUUGCAGUAAAAGCUUAGAUCACAGUUAUUGGAAUUUAACAGGACAAGGGCUAUAUGUCUAUUUUGAAAUACUAUCACUUCAACAUCUACUUUAAAGUGUUUUCAGGUGUAUUCUGGAAUUAUUUUCUUCUCAGACAAUCUCUUUGAGGCUUGAGUCACUUCUCUGCCCAGCUUGGGAGAAACUUCACCCGAUUUUUAGAAGAAUUUAUAAGCUGCAGCUCCUGUCUCUUUCUCUGCAAACACAGAACAAACAGCUCUGAUUAGAGCACUGCCCCAAGCCUGAUUAAAUGCCUUUCUUUUUCUGUGGAAAUAUUGCAAUAAAUGUUCAAGCCUGUUACCA
rnacentral:lncRNA from 1 species